rfam:Danio rerio chromosome 4, GRCz11 reference primary assembly.
GCGUUGGUGGUUCAGUGGUAAAAUUCCUGUUUGUGACGCGGGAGAUCCGUGUCCGUUUUCCGGCCAAUGCA